GCCAAAAUCGCGCCAUUGCACUCCAGCCUGGGCAACAAGAGCAAAAUAACUCCAUCUCAAAAAAAAAAAAAAAAUACUCGAGACUGGGUGAUUUACAAAGGAAGAGAAGUUUAAUGGACUCACAGUUCCAUGUGGCUGGGAGGCCUCACAAUCAUGGCGGAAGGCAAAAGGCAUGUCUUACAUGGAGGCAGACAAGAGAGAAAAUGAGAACAAAGUGAAAGGGGUUUCCCCUUAUAAAACCAUCAGAUCUCGUGAGACUUAUUCACUACCUCAAGAAUAGUAUGGGGGAACCGCCCCCAUGAUUCAAUUAUCUCCCACCUGGUCCCUCCCACACACGUGGGAAUUAUGGGAGCUACAAUUCAAGAUGAGAUUUGGGUGGGGACACAGCCAAACCAUAUCAGUGUGAUUUUGAGAACUGUUUCCAAUUGGUACAGCCCUCAAGCCUUGUUCUCAAACCUUCUCAGAAGUCUGUGAGUCAUCCAGUAUAUAAUCAAUAAAUUCUGAUUCUACUUAGAUCACCUAGGUUAUGUUUCUUUGUUUGCAAAUAAGAACUCUGGCUGAUAUAUGUCCCAUAUCCUGUCCUGGGUAUAAAAAUCUCUAGGUUCCUGUUUGGAUGAUUAGGAAGUGACCUGUUAGUUAAUGUAUGGUCUUCAUGUCAUCCAAGAAGGGAAGGCCAUGAAAGAGUGACUGUGGUCAGUUAGUCAAAAGUCGUAACUGCAUGGCGAGCCUGGGCUGGCUGGCCAUACUUUGACCAACGCUGAUUCACCUACACCACUGGCUGGGGUGGCAGCCCACAGCAAAGAGCUGUGAUCAGUGGCCACCACUUACAACUCAUUACUCUAUAGCACGGUGGCAAUCUUAACUCUAGAGGACCAACACAAGCAAUUCUCCUCUGUAUACUGAAGAAAAUUGUAGUAGAAAUUCCAACACCUAUUCUGAGAAACCCAACGUGCAUUUUCCACCUUGAAAUAAACAUUUUACAUGCAAUGGUCUUAAUAAUGGUCAUUAGUGAGCUGUAGUAAGCAACCCUGAUGGAUAGCCCAUCUGGUCGGAAGCCUGGCUUGCUGUCCCAGCCCUGCCUGCUCCUAGAUUUGGAUUCUGGAAUGCAAAUCAGCACCCAAUUUCUGAAUAUUUUCUCAUCCCUUGUUGCUGAGUUUGUCUUGCUUACUUAUAUCCCUCCUCUCUCUCUCUCUCUCUCUCUCUCUCUCUCUCUCUCUUUUCCUCCCUUCUACUUCCAUGACAUCCCUGCUCUCUGAUAUAAGAAGAAUGAGGAAGAAUAGGUUAAGAGGGAGAAGGAACACUUUCCAGCAGAGGAAAUGUGCAGAACACCCAAAGAUGAGCAAAUUCAGGCUGGAGGACAUUUAGGAAACUACAAGUAAUUCCACUGGAUGUGAAGCCAGAAACUGUGUGAAGGGCAUUGGCAAGAGAUAAGGAAACUCCGGCAUACAGAAGUUACACAACUUGCCCAAGUCAUGUAGUGAGGAAGAGGCAGAGCUGGGGUGUGAACGAGGACCCUAAGCAAAGCUACUGAACUUGGACUUCCACCUGAGAGCUACAGAAGACCUUUAAAGAGGAGAGGGAUCUGAUUGGCCUGUACUUUAGAGAGAUUGUAGGAUGCCAGUGUGUCCCCUGAUGCCAAUAACAAGACUGAAACUGAGGAUGUUUGGGAGUUAACACUCGAAGAAGAUGUCAACAGACAUCAGAGCCAGCACAGGAAGCAAGCGGGCAGUGGCGUGGGAUGGAACUAGGGCCAAUUGCCAGGUUUCCAAGAACUGAGUGGGGAGCUGCCAGGAUUGCAGCCAAGGCUGCAGGAGAUAAGGGCAUGGGGAUGGCACCUAACUGGCUCAGGCUAUUUCUCAAAGGCAGGAGCACCCACCAGCUUCCUUGACCCUGACUGUACCCAGUGCCUGACACCAACUUAUCUUUUCCAAUUUAUCUCCCUGGGUUCACAUCCUCCCACAACCAGAACCUAUUCUGUCAUUUAUACCCACACGUAUUCACAAAACGACCCAGGGGCAUUGCAAGAAAUAAAUACGUAAUGAAAUGAUGUUAAAAUAUGGAUAAAAACAAAUAUUAAGACCAGAGAAAACACUCAUCAGAGCAGAAAUUGAGCUUUUGGGGAGGAAAGGAGAAGAAACUCAAAUAUUCAAGCUGUGUGGUUCCUUGCUCUUGCUCAAGUUAAGCUCAAGUUUGAAGCUAAACUUCCAGUCAAAGUGAAAACGAAGGCAAGGUCAUUUACAUGGUCGUUACGGAGAGAAAAGAGGAAGUGCACCAGCUGCCAAGAAAACUUGUGGCCCUUUGCUAGCAAAGGUGUGGCAUGAAUUUUCAAAGUGGACUGCUUUCCAAUCCCUUAACCCCCCCUUUACUUCCCCCAUCACACCUGUGUUUAGGUGGUUGCAUCCAUCUAGCUUACAAGCAUGUAAGUGUCAAUCAAAAUCCUGCCCAAAUUUUAGAGCCCAUCUUAAGUAGUUUGGCACCCAUGAAGAAGGUGUCUUUUCCCUCCCUGGUCAGAAGUUUUUCCCCUUAAUUAUUUCUCUGCCUUGUUGUUGCUUCUUUCAUAGCACUCAUUAUAUUCUCUCACAUGUUACAAUUCAAUGUCUAUGUGUCUUGUCUUUCGUGAGGCAGCAUAGCCUAAUGGUUAGAGCAACAGCUCAGGAGUCAACCUCCCUGGGUUCUAGCUUGCCCCUCUCUGGCUGUGUAACCUUGGGCAACAUACUUGAUCCAUCUAAGCUUCAGUUUUUUUUCAUCUGUAAAAUGAGAAUCAUAAGAGCAUCAUCCUUGUUCUCUUAGCACGGCACUUGGCACAUGGUAAAUUAUCACAUUUUUAUCAGCAUCUUCAUAAUUAUCAUCUCAUCUCCUAGGGCUGUCAGUACAGUAGCCACUAGCCACAGGGAGCUCUUCAAAUCUAAAUUAAUUAUAAUCAAAUAAAGCUUAAAAGUCUUUUCCUUAGGGGUACUAGCCUCAUUUCAAGUGCCAGCUGUAGCUAGUGACUACCAUAUUGGACAGCCCAGAUACAGCAUAUUCCCACAAUCACAGAAAGUUCUAAAGUUCCCUCUAGAACGGGGACUAGCAAUUUUUUUUCUGUCAACGGUCAAAUAGGUAAUUAUUUUAGACUUUGUGGCCAUAAGGUCUUUGUUGCAACCACUCACCUUCACCACUAUAGUGUGAAAGCAGCAUAGACAACAAAUAAAUGAAUGGGCAUGGCUGUGUUCCAAUAAAAGUUGACUUAUGGACACUUUAAAGUAAAUUUCAUCUAAUUUUUAUGUCACAAAAUAUCAUUCUCCAUUCGAGCUUGUUUAGCCACUGAAAA
rnacentral:lncRNA from 1 species